GUGGGGAAUCUUGCGCAAUGGGCGAAAGCCUGACGCAGCCAUGCCGCGUGAAUGAUGAAGGUCUUAGGAUUGUAAAAUUCUUUCACCGGGGACGAUAAUGACGGUACCCGGAGAAGAAGCCCCGGCUAACUUCGUGCCAGCAGCCGCGGUAAUACGAAGGGGGCUAGCGUUGCCCGGAAUUACUGGGCGUACAGGGCGCGUAGGCGGACAGUUUAGUCAGAGGUGAAAGCCCAGGGCUCAACCUUGGAAUUGCCUUUGAUACUGGCUGUCUUGAGUACGGGGGAGGUGAGUGGAGCUCCGAGUGUAGAGGUGAAAUUCGUAGAUAUUCGGAAGAACACCGGUGGCGAAGGCGACUCACUGGCCCGUUACUGACGCUGAGGCGCGAAAGCGUGGGGAGCAAACAGGAUUAGAAACCCCGGUAGUCC
rnacentral:rRNA from 1 species